CUUCAAAUCUGCUGUUUAAGUUUUUAGUCUAUUUAAAUUUUCUACUUAAUUUCAACUUUUAUUUUAGAUACAGGAGGUACAUGUGCAAAUUUAUUACAUGGAAAUAUUGCAUGAUGCUGAGGUUUGGUGUACAGAUCCCAUUACCCUGGUAGGGAGCACAGUACUCGGCAAGAGGGGGAGAAAACUUCACAGAGGAGUAAACCUGAGACACUGAUUCAAGAGCCAGACAGUUCAAUGAACAGGAUAAUCGGGGUAGUUUUUGACAGGCAUUGUGAAGACCAGCAGUUGAAGUGGGCUGGCUUACAGCAUGAAUAACGACAUUACUGUCUCUCUCAUGAAGAGCCCUCCC
rnacentral:lncRNA from 13 species